GAGAACCUCCUAACUAGGAUCUUUUGAAACGCCAACAACUUGCUUUCGACGUUUUAAAACAGACUCAUUUCCUCCCAGUUAUAAUCCAGUGUUACGCCAGGCCAAAGAAAAAGAAACCCAAACCGAAGCCAUUAAUUCCAGUCUCUAAUUCUAUACCAGACUAGCCGGACCUGGACUUUACUCUUAACUACCUCUGGUUCCGCAACAGAAUUCUCCAAUGCCUCUUUGAUGAUCGACUUCAAGGCACUUUCACAGCAGCUGAGAGUUUACUUUACCUCACUCUGGAAGAGGUGCCGUCAUCCGCCCGUUUGCUCUUAGUAAGAAAGCCAUGCAGAGACAUGAAGAAA